AUGCAAGGAAAAGCAAACCUGUGGUUUGAAGAUACUCUUCUGGAGGGAAAAGUCAGCGAUCAGGAGCAUGAGGCCACCACCAUUUUGAAAGAAAAACAGUACUGGUGUAGGCACCUUACUUUUAGACAUGAGAAAGCAGUGCAUGGGCCUGCUGGUCAACUCUGGGAAGCUGUGAGGAAUGAGAUAGUUGCCUGCUUGCCAAGCAGUGGACAAUGUUCAUGAGUAAAUAGCAAUCACUCUCAGCCUGUACCUUCAAUAGCAAUACAUAUAAAAUGGCACUGCUCCAAGGUGCUUCUUGAAGCUAAGGAAGCUGAAGGAAAUGAGUAUGAAUAAUCCCUCUCAAAGCUUUAUGGCUAAAAGAUGAAUGAAAGUGGUUGCAUAUAGUACUCUGAAUAAAUAACAUCUAAUUACUGAAUAUUAGAGGCUC
rnacentral:lncRNA from 1 species